rnacentral:rRNA from 1 species
UACGUAGGGUGCAAGCGUUAAUCGGAAUUCCUGGGCGUAAAGCGUGCGAAGGCGGUUAUGUAAGACAGGUGGUAAAUCCCCGGGCUUAACCUGGGAACUGCAUUUGUGACUGCAUAGCUAGAGUACGGUAGAGGGGGAUGGAAUUCCGCGUGUAGCAGUGAAAUGCGUAGAUAUGCGGAGGAACACCGAUGGCGAAGGCAAUCCCCUGGACCUGUACUGACGCUCAUGCACGAAAGCGUGGGGAGCAGACAGG